CAGCAGCCGCGGUAAUAUGAAGGGGGCUAGCGUUGCUCGGAUUUACUGGGCGUAAAGGGCGCGUAGGCGGACAGUUAAGUUGGGGGUGAAAGCCCGGGGCUCAACCUCGGAAUUGCCUUCAAUACUGGCUGUCUUGAGUACGGGAGAGGUGUGUGGAACUCCGAGUGUAGAGGUGAAAUUCGUAGAUAUUCGGAAGAACACCAGUGGCGAAGGCGACACACUGGCCCGUUACUGACGCUGAGGCGCGAAAGCGUGGGGAGCAAACAGGAUUAGAUACCCCGGUAGUCCCUGUCUCUUAUAC
rnacentral:rRNA from 1 species